rnacentral:tRNA from 2 species
GGUACCUUGAAUGAGCGGCUUAGUUACCGGUCUGCAAAACCGUGAAGGGCGGUUCGACUCCGCCAGGUACCU